rnacentral:rRNA from 1 species
AACGAACGCUGGCGGCAGGCUUAACACAUGCAAGUCGAGCGCCCCGCAAGGGGAGCGGCAGACGGGUGAGUAACGCGUGGGAACGUACCCUUUGCUACGGAAUAGCUCCGGGAAACUGGAAUUAAUACCGUAUGUGCCCUACGGGGGAAAGAUUUAUCGGCAAAGGAUCGGCCCGCGUUGGAUUAGCUAGUUGGUGGGGUAAUGGCCUACCAAGGCGACGAUCCAUAGCUGGUCUGAGAGGAUGAUCAGCCACAUUGGGACUGAGACACGGCCCAAACUCCUACGGGAGGCAGCAGUGGGGAAUAUUGGACAAUGGGCGCAAGCCUGAUCCAGCCAUGCCGCGUGAGUGAUGAAGGCCUUAGGGUUGUAAAGCUCUUUCACCGGAGAAGAUAAUGACGGUACCCGGAGAAGAAGCCCCGGCUAACUUCGUGCCAGCCGCCGCAAUAAUAC